rnacentral:rRNA from 1 species
UACGUAGGGGGCUAGCGUUGUCCGAAUUUAUUGGGCGUAAAGAGCUCGUAGGCGGUCUGUCGCGUCUGCUGUGAAAACUCGGGGCUUAACCCCGGGCCUGCAGUGGGUACGGGCAGACUAGAGUGCGGUAGGGGAGACUGGAAUUCCUGGUGUAGCGGUGAAAUGCGCAGAUAUCAGGAGGAACACCGGUGGCGAAGGCGGGUCUCUGGGCCGUAACUGACGCUGAGGAGCGAAAGCAUGGGGAGCGAACAGG